UACGAAGGGGGCUAGCGUUGCUCGGAAUCACUGGGCGUAAAGCGCACGUAGGCGGACUCUUAAGUCGGUGGUGAAAUCCUGGAGCUCAACUCCAGAACUGCCUUCGAUACUGAGAGUCUUGAGUCCGGGAGAGGUGAGUGGGAACUGCGAGUGUAGAGGUGAAAUUCGUAGAUAUUCGCAAGAACACCAGUGGCGAAGGCGGCUCACUGGCCCGGUACUGACGCUGAGGUGCGAAAG
rnacentral:rRNA from 1 species